rnacentral:rRNA from 1 species
AAAGUCUGAACCAGCCAUGCCGCGUGCAGGAUGACUGCCCUCUGGGUUGUAAACUGCUUUUAUACGAGGGUAAUUUGAGUUACGUGUAACUUAUUGAAAGUAUCGUAUGAAUAAGGAUCGGCUAACUCCGUGCCAGCAGCCGCGGUAAUACGGAGGAUUCGAGCGUUAUCCGGAUUUAUUGGGUUUAAAGGGUGCGUAGGCGGUUUAGUAAGUUAGUGGUGAAAAGCAGUUGCUUAACAAUUGUCGUGCCAUUAAUACUGUUAGACUAGAAUUUAGUUGAAGUGGGCGGAAUAUGUAGUGUAGCGGUGAAAUGCUUAGAUAUUACAUAGAACGCCAAUUGCGAAGGCAGCUCACUAAGCUAUAAUUGACGCUGAUGCACGAAAGCGUG